GGCUAUUCCAUUUAAUAUCCGUACCCCCCUGUCGAGGAUACAUGUUUUUCAUUGUCAUACCCCUGAAGAAUUCCAAGCUCAAAACUGUUUACCCCUGAAGAAUUCCAAGCUCAAAACCUUUUACCCCUGAAGAAUUCCAAAAUUCCAAGCUCAAAACUCUUUACCCCUGAAGAAUUCCAAGCUCAAAACCUUUUACCCCUGAAGAAUUCCAAAAUUCCAAGCUCAAAACCCUUUACCCCUGAAGAAUUCCAAGCUCAAAACCAUUUACCCCAGAAGAAUUCCAAACUCAAAACACUUUACCUCUGAAGAAUUCCAAGCUCAAAACCCUUUACCCCUGAAGAAUUCCAGGGAUCCUCGACAGGGGGGGGGUACGGAUAUUAAAUGGAAUAGCCCAAUACGACUUUGUAGUUUGUAAAAUAAAAGUACUUACUUUUCGACGAAGCUACGAUGAUCGACAUCUCAUAAUUAGGUAUCAUCGCAAAAGAUACAGAGCAAUGAACGCACCACAGAAAGAUCUACGGUACAGGUUGUUAUAAAAUGUCGCCAAAGCCCGCCAUAAUCAAUUAUUAUGCUUCCUUACACGAAGUAGUACAAGUUAGAAGCUAAACCAUUAAAUUAGAUGUGCCGUGGUAUUGCGGGCUCAAAUCCCAGCCGGACAAGAACAGGUCUCUGAUGUUUUGGAUAAAAGGAAUUUAAUUAUUUAUUAGUUCAGUUUAUAAAGUAAAGGAACUGUCAUCUAAUUUUAGUAAAGUAAGUCAGUAUAGUUAUACAAAUGUAUAUGGAUUAAACUUUUUUCUAUCUGUUUGCUUUGAAAGUAAGUUCCAUUUUUUAUUGAAACUAUAAGAUUUAUAGUUAUCACUAUUUGAGAUAUUUGUUUGCCAGUUUGGUGGGUUAGAUUUCAAGCAUGGUUAUGGUGGUACAUGAUUUACAUGGUACACGUUUAUGAUAGCUAGCUAGCUAGCUGACAAUUUAUUUACCUUAAAUGCCAAUUCUUUCACUUCCAUCACUGCAUACGACAGUCCAUAAACAGGUUUUAAAACUCUAUGAGGUGUUUACACCAGUCAAUUUAAUAAGAAGUCAGAGUUCCAUGAUACUGUAAAUGUACCAUGCACUGGGCAUGUAUGUGUACUACGGUAUAAACUUGUCAGUAAAUUGUAAAUUGUCAGGCUAGCAGUUAGAGAAAUGUUCCUUGUUAUUUUUGUUAUUUGUAAUAAACUAAUUGUGUUCUUUGCCACAGGAACCAAUUUUGGAUAACUAAAUUAUAUUUUGAUAUUUAC